AAUAACUUUUCUAUUUCUUUCUUUUUAUUAGGUUAUUUUCUUUAUUCUUGUAUUUCAUAUUUGUUCUCCUUGCAAGAUCUUGCCAUUGCUUUCUCCUUUGUUCAGUCAUUCUAACGAAAAAGUGCACUUCUUCCAACAUGGUAUUAAACUUGAGAAUAAUAGAAGAGGGUGUGUAGAAAUUAACAUAGGUUUGUAGAAAUCUAGACGAGUAGAGAAGAAGAGGGUGCAACGCUCCUUCGCAACCAUCCCGAAUGACAAUAGAUAUCUCAACUCUGACCUACUGUCGUAGACCUCAUAAUUUUGCUACUGGAUAACUAAUUUUGAGGAGAGAAUGCUUAUUUUUCAAGAGGAGGGUGAUGAUGAAAAGAAGGAGGAUGAAGAUGAGGAAGAACACAAGCAGAAAGAAGGUAAUUUAUUGACGGAUGUUUUUGAAUGGCAUAGAAUUCCUUACCAUAAUCUAAUUGUAACGUUCGAUGAUACAAGUCUUGAUAGAAAUUGGCCAAGAUUCCAUCCAAGAAAUGCUAAAAUUGCUUGCAAGGAUAAAGAAGCUACGAGGUUUGUUUUAGAAUCUAACGCUGUGAAGCCACUUGCUAGCUCUAUUCUAGAUUUUUUAGACACUAGAAGGACCGAGGAUGUGUAUAUCCCUCGCUGCUUGAUCAUUAAAGAAUAAUACACUUGGCAGCACUGUUAUGUGUGAAAUCUAGA